rnacentral:rRNA from 1 species
CUUGCGCGUGCAGCGGGUACGGGCGGACUAGAGUGCAGUAGGGGAGUCUGGAAUUCCUGGUGUAGCGGUGAAAUGCGCAGAUAUCAGGAGGAACACCGGUGGCGAAGGCGGGACUCUGGGCUGUUACUGACGCUGAGGAGCGAAAGCAUGGGGAGCGAACAGGAUUAGAUACCCUGGUAGUCCAUGCCGUAAACGUUGGGCACUAGGUGUGGGACUCAUUCCACGAGUUCCGUGCCGCAGCUAACGCAUUAAGUGCCCCGCCUGGGGAGUACGGCCGCAAGGCUAAAACUCAAAGGAAUUGACGGGGGCCCGCACAAGCGGCGGAGCAUGCGGAUUAAUUCGAUGCAACGCGAAGAACCUUACCAAGGCUUGACAUACAUCAGAGUGUGCCAGAGAUGGUUCAGCCCUUUUGGGCUGGUGUACAGGUGGUGCGUGGUUGUCGUCAGCUCGUGUCGUGAGAUGUUGGGUUAAGUCCCGCAACGAGCGCAACCCUCGUUCUAUGUUGCCAGCACGUGAUGGUGGGAACUCAUAGGAGACUGCCGGGGUCAACUCGGAGGAAGGUGGGGAUGACGUCAAAUCAUCAUGCCCUUUAUGUCUUGGGCUUCACGCAUGCUACAAUGGUCGGUACAAAGGGUGGCGAUGCCGUGAGGUGGAGCGAAUCCCAGAAAGCCGGUCUCAGUUCGGAUCGUAGUCUGCAACUCGACUACGUGAAGUCGGAGUCGCUAGUAAUCGCAGAUCAGCAACGCUGCGGUGAAUACGUUCCCGGGCCUUGUACACACCGCCCGUCAAGUCACGAAAGUCGGUAACACCCGAAGCCGGUGGCCCAACCAGUUUUGCUGGGGGGAGCCGUCGAAGGUGGGACUGGUGAUUGGAACUAAGUCGUAACAAGGUAGCA